rnacentral:rRNA from 1 species
AGACAGCCAGGAUGUUGGCUUAGAAGCAGCCAUCAUUUAAAGAAAGCGUAAUAGCUCACUGGUCGAGUCGGCCUGCGCGGAAGAUGUAACGGGGCUAAACCAUGCACCGAAGCUGCGGCAGCGACGCUUAGGCGUUGUUGGGUAGGGGAGCGUUCUGUAAGCCGUUGAAGGUGGCCUGUGAGGGUUGCUGGAGGUAUCAGAAGUGCGAAUGCUGACAUAAGUAACGAUAAAGCGGGUGAAAAGCCCGCUCGCCGGAAGACCAAGGGUUCCUGUCCAACGUUAAUCGGGGCAGGGUGAGUCGACCCCUAAGGCGAGGCUGAAAAGCGUAGUCGAUGGGAAACAGGUUAAUAUUCCUGUACUUGGUGUUACUGCGAAGGGGGGACGGAGAAGGCUAGGCUGGCCGGGCGACGGUUGUCCCGGUUUAAGCGUGUAGGGGGUGUGACCUGGUAAAUCCGGUUGCAUACUAACCCUGAGGCGUGAUGACGAUGCACUACGGUGCAGAAGUAGUUGAUGCCCUGCUUCCAGGAAAAUCCUCUAAGCUCCAGGUAACAUUAAAUCGUACCCCAAACCGACACAGGUGGUCAGGUAGAGAAUACCAAGGCGCUUGAGAGAACUCGGGUGAAGGAACUAGGCAAAAUGGUGCCGUAACUUCGGGAGAAGGCACGCUGGCAUGUAGGUGAAGUCCCUUGCGGAUGGAGCUGAAGCCAGUCGAAGAUACCAGCUGGCUGCAACUGUUUAAUAAAAACACAGCACUGUGCAAACACGAAAGUGGACGUAUACGGUGUGACGCCUGCCCGGUGCUGGAAGGUUAAUUGAUGGGGUCAGCCGCAAGGCGAAGCUCUUGAUCGAAGCCCCAGUAAACGGCGGCCGUAACUAUAACGGUCCUAAGGUAGCGAAAUUCCUUGUCGGGUAAGUUCCGACCUGCACGAAUGGCGUAAUGAUGGCCAGGCUGUCUCCACCCGAGACUCAGUGAAAUUGAACUCGCUGUGAAGAUGCAGUGUACCCGCGGCAAGACGGAAAGACCCCGUGAACCUUUACUAUAGCUUGACACUGAACAUUGAGCCUUGAUGUGUAGGAUAGGUGGGAGGCUUUGAAGCGUGGACGCCAGUCUGCGUGGAGCCAUCCUUGAAAUACCACCCUUUAAUGUUUGAUGUUCUAACUCGGCCCCAUAAUCUGGGGUGAGGACAGUGUCUGGUGGGUAGUUUGACUGGGGCGGUCUCCUCCCAAAGAGUAACGGAGGAGCACGAAGGUUAGCUAAUCACGGUCGGACAUCGUGAGGUUAGUGCAAAGGCAUAAGCUAGCUUGACUGCGAGAGUGACGGCUCGAGCAGGUACGAAAGUAGGUCUUAGUGAUCCGGUGGUUCUGAAUGGAAGGGCCAUCGCUCAACGGAUAAAAGGUACUCCGGGGAUAACAGGCUGAUACCGCCCAAGAGUUCAUAUCGACGGCGGUGUUUGGCACCUCGAUGUCGGCUCAUCACAUCCUGGGGCUGAAGUAGGUCCCAAGGGUAUGGCUGUUCGCCAUUUAAAGUGGUACGCGAGCUGGGUUUAGAACGUCGUGAGACAGUUCGGUCCCUAUCUGCCGUGGGCGUUGGAAGAUUGAGAGGGGUUGCUCCUAGUACGAGAGGACCGGAGUGAACGCACCACUGGUGUUCGGGUUGUCAUGCCAAUGGCAUUGCCCGGUAGCUAAGUGCGGAAAAGAUAAGCGCUGAAAGCAUCUAAGCGCGAAACUUGCCUCAAGAUGAGUCUUCCCUGGGCCUUUAAGGCCCCUGAAGGAACGUUUAAGACUAAGACGUUGAUAGGCUGGGUGUGUAAGUGCAGCGAUGCAUUGAGCUAACCAGUACUAAUGAUCCGUGAGGCUUAACCUUACAACACCGAAGGUGUUUUAG